rnacentral:rRNA from 1 species
AACGAACGCUGGCGGCAGGCCUAACACAUGCAAGUCGAACGCCGUAGCAAUACGGAGUGGCAGACGGGUGAGUAACGCGUGGGAACAUACCCCUCGGUUCGGAAUAACUUAGGGAAACUUGAGCUAAUACCGGAUACGUCCGAGGUUUUAACCGGCCUCGGAGAAAGAUUUAUCGCCGGAGGAUUGGCCCGCGUCUGAUUAGCUUGUUGGUGAGGUAAUGGCUCACCAAGGCGACGAUCAGUAGCUGGUCUGAGAGGAUGAUCAGCCACACUGGGACUGAGAUACGGCCCAGACUCCUACGGGAGGCAGCAGUGGGGAAUAUUGGACAAUGGGGGAAACCCUGAUCCAGCAAUGCCGCGUGAGUGAAGAAGGCC